GGUCGCAUGUUCAACAGGAUCACCCGCUUGGUGUGAGCAGCACGAUGAUACACUACUGCGGCCGCGCAUAUGCCUCAUGGAUAUUCGCCACGAAUAGGUCAGAAUCGUGGAAGCGCUCAAAUAUAAUCACGAUCUCUUUGAAGGGAUUUCAUAUCUUCGGGCCCGUCUUUGAAGCUCUUCCACGUACGUAACUCUGAGUAGCAGAUCUACCCUUCAUGCCUUCAGCCAGCAGCCCUCUCAUCCCAAGCAGUUACAGUAGUAGGCAGUCAUGAAUGCAGAAAUUGGCUUACAAAGUGCGCGAUAAGAGCAAGACAAAAUAGAGCAAAUCUAUCGUCCAUUGCCAUAGCCACGAGAUCUUGGGAAUCACACAACGCUCGUAUCUUUGUGAAAACUUGUUCAUUUCAUGCUUGCAAUGUUUUUUUUCACCUAUAUAGUUUCUAA